AUCUCUUCCUAGGUAGCUGACAAGGAUUAUCCUUUUAUCCAUUUCCAAAUCUUCUCUGAAUUCCAAGAAAUAAAUGGUAGAGAUGAGAAGAAACCUGCUGAGAAUAUAGGCCAGACCACUUACAGGUUAUAGGCCAGACCACUUACAGGAUGGACCUAUUUUUUUGCUUGGAAAAUAAGAUGUUCUCUGCUUCUGGCACACUGGUGAAAAUCGGUAAUUAAGGACACUGGUAAUAGUAUAUGGAUCCUGUUGGAGAUAGAGUAUCAUACAAGUAUUGGAUGAAUAGCAAACAGCCUUGCUGCUACAUUUCAAGGCGCAGCCUGAGUCUUGGUGUGCAGAAUAUCAUCCCAUGA
rnacentral:lncRNA from 13 species